UAAUAAUAAUAAUAAUAAACAACACUUUAAUAUAAUAUAAGCCUAGUCAUGGAUGUGUAAAAAAAAAAAACAUGACUCAGAAAAUUAUAAACUGCUGCCCGCGCCCGGUGACGCUUCAUUCAAUUGGCAUUUUUGCUCCUUUGCCGUUUUGGUCUAUGCCUAUUGCCAUUUUGGUCUAUUGCCGUUUUGGUACUUAUUUUUGCCGUUUUGGUUUAUUGCCGUUUUGACCUGCUCCCAAAAUUCCCCUUCCCCCACUGGCGCUGCCCCUGCCGAGUUGGUAAAGCCUAAAGGGCAGAGUUGGCAAGGGCCGAGUUGGUGUAUGUGUUGAAUUGUACCCAAAUAAUCUUGUUUUUUUUGCCAGGCAUACCAUUGUCCAUGAUGUGGCCUGUGCAAGUAUUGGAAUGGCCACCAUUGCCGUCAUCGGUACAAGUUUUCUGUCAUGCAGAUGAUGCAGAGUCAGCAAGAGAAUGAAAUUAUCAUCAACAAAAAGUUGCGGGCUGUGAUGAGCAAAUAUGUAUGUCUCCAAUGUUGCCUCUACCUAAUCCACCCCUGACAGAAGGAAUAGAACAGAAGUCUUUAUUGCUACAGCAUUGGACAGGUGAGAACUGUGGGAAGUUGACCGACUUGCUAAGUUAACUGGUUGUCAAUUUUCUAGUAUGUUUCGUACUCAGAAUACAACACAUGUUAUCAUAAAAACAGAGAAGAAAAUGUUCCUAGACGGCCAUAGAGCGGUAGUCACUGAAUAUUUCAAGGAUGCAAUAAUAUGUGGCGUGGCACCAAAAAUUCAAACGUGUAAAGUGCAAACAAAAAUUCCCAUAUUGAAUACUCGCACUUGAUAGUUGUGGUUGCUGAGCGAAAAAGGAAGUUAAGGAAAAUAUCUAAAUGACAAAAAUAAUCCAAAAUCUAUGGUGUUGGUGCGUUUGACAUCUAAGAAACUCUCUAUGCUAAACAUUUUAUCAUCAAUUCUAUUGUAAGCGUUCAUGACUGGUCGAACAGUUUUUUUAUAGGAAUCUAAAUUGUGCAUCGUAGAUUAGUUUUACUACAUUCAAGUAUGAUAAUGUUUGGUCAUAAAUUACUCCUUCAUCAUGGAGAGACAAGGCAACAUCGAUAUUGGUGCGUAAUUUUGUAUGUUAUUAUGUUCCCCUUUACAAAUAGAUGUUUUUUGCUAUUUUUAGCUCGCAUUGAAAUAUACCAGUCACCAGUGUAACAUUUAUAAUGUGGGAUAGGUUUUGAGAGAAUAUCAGAAUAGAGUUUUAUAUAUUGUGCACCUAUAUCAUAAUGUCCUGCAGAUUUGAUGAUGUUUAGUUUAUCAAUAUAUUUCUUUAUAUCUGUCUCUGACACAGGUUUUAUCAUGGAGGUAUAAAAUUUUGUAUACCUCCAUGGUUUUACAAACAUAGAUUAACAUUGAUUAUUUUGACAGAAAUACAGUUAGUACUAUAUUAGUUUGUUCCUUAUUUUAAGUAAUCUUUUGCCUAUGUUAACAAAUAUAUCGUUAAAGCCUCAGCUUUUGGUGUACUGCAUAAUAUAUUUGUUUCAUUAGACCAAAAAAAAUAAAUGUUCUUUCUCUGGUCCGCGCGCGUCGAUUUAGACCAUACGCGUCAAUUUUUUUAAAUUUUUUACCGGACAUACAACAUCGCCACCUAUCCUGAAUUUUGGGGUGCAGCUUAUCCAUUCUAGGUUUGUCCAUUGCUAGCCCAACUAAUUAACCUAGGGUAGGACCGGUUUGUAUUGUAGGCCUAGUAUUUGUAAUUAUACUCACUACAGUGCAUGCUGUACUAGGAUACUAAAUCAUUCAUUCAUAAACAAUUUUGAAACACGCUGUUCGAAAACUGCCAAACUACUUUUCGCGAAUUUGGUCCUGGGGUAAUUUACGAGUGUCGCAACAAAACACACGUGGGCUGGUUGUUGAAACUUGCUGUUCAACAUUCUGGGUUCCCGGUGGCUUGUACCAUUAUAGAGAGAAUGAUUCGCUAAAAUUGCAGAAUAAAAACUUGUGAAAUUAAUUUAUGCUAUAAAAAGUUUUCUUGAAGUUGUAAUAAUUAUUUUACUUGAAUUUGACUUUAGAAAGGCAUUCGUCAUCUGCGCAUGCGUAAACUUUGUAUUGCACGAUAUUUUCUCCACUUUCUGUUUUUGUUUAUAAAACCUGGUGUGUGAUGAGUGCAUGCUUCGCACGAUGGGCUGUGAAAUGACUUAGGCCUAGAAUUACCAAUACAUUAAGCUUAAUACGACUGUUAUUAGUCACCAUAAUAAUAGAAUGAUUGUUUAAAAUAGAUAAACAUACUCAAUAAGUAUUUUAUUUUCCUAGAUUUUAUUAAACUAAACUGAUGUUGAAAUUUUUAACGUAGCGCGACCGUCUAGCAUGAAAUGGGGAUUUCCCUAGAGCAGGAAUACAUUGUUUCAUUGCGGUAGCCUGAAGUUUACACGGAUGGUGGGAUCAUCGCCCGUCGGAUUUUUUCAAAGCGUACCCAUUAAUGCUGAUAAUGAUGAUGAAUUAAGAUGGGGUUCACUUGGCAAAUGAAGCGAAAUCGAGGAUGUGGAAUGUGGAAGGACAACAAUAUUUAGCAUUAGCAGAACAUAAAAAAGAUACUAAAAACACCUUUUCUGUACUUUCCCUGCUUUUCAAAAAAAAAAAGAAUAGAAAAAAAAAACCGCAUCACCGCAUCAAUUCUGUAACUUUGGUCUGACCAGAACCAGAACAUUUAUUUUUUUUGGCCUUAUAUAAUUCUUUUGGGAUAUAAUGUUCCAUUGCCAUGACAAUUGGAUAGUUGUCAUUGUUAAAUUGGUUUAAUAUAGUUCGACGUGAACCAGGCUAUUGAUUACAGUAGCUUAUAAUGAAGUUGAUUUCAUAGAAGCAAUAAAAAAAAAUUUUAAAACAGUUAUAAUAAAUACUGACUAACUAAAAUUUUGUUUCUUUCACUCAACAGAUUAAAUAAUCUGAUUUGAUCCCAUUAAUAGUUACAUUAUUUUGUCAUUUGCUGUAUCUCCCUUAGCAUGCUGCAUACUUUUUAGCAGUACAUGUUUAUUUUAUUUAUUUUUUUUUUUUGUAGGUGACUUUUUGUUUUUAAACACUUUCUGUCAAUUUAGAAAAAAAUGUUUCCUAGUAUACCUUGGAAUUUGUUUUGUUUUUAGAAUAAUAUUUAUAAUAGAUACAUGUAAAUCAUGCAGCUUAGGGGCUAAACCCCCAAUGGGAUUGGUUAUAGCCUACAACUCACCUAACCAGGCAUCAUGGGCACAAUAUUUCCACUUUUUGACUAAAGUAUAUUAGAAACUCACUAAGAGUGCCAAAUAAGCCAUGAUGCUUUAGGUGCAGGUAAAUAUGUACUUUUUCAUAUGCCCUACAUUGUCCUCAUGGUAUCAUAAUCAUCGUUAGCGUCGUCGUAUUUAUCGGGUGUGUCAUCUUCACUGCGAUGCAUCACAAAUCAAAUAAAUUCCUCUUUGUCGACAUCGGUAUCAUCAUCGCAAGCGCUUUAAGGGCUUUGUAUUGUACUAGUAUUGUUUUCAAAACAAUAUUUUAGGACAUUUUAUUCGAGAAAAAGCCCCAAUUGAAUGAGCUAUUACAAAAAGAUUUAAAACCCAAUGACUGUUAGAAGCGGAGAAAAUGGGAUUCAAACACAGUGGUUAUAAAUGAAUGGUGCACCAGUGCUUCUAUGGCCUGCUAAGGGUAACAAUCAUGAUUGUGUUCUAAACAUCACCAGAAACCGCUCUCGCUGAGUAAAGUAAGAGCAAGGUCAUAUGGUCAGUACCAGCUAAUCAUCUAGAAUUGUUUGACAGUUGAAUUACAGUAUUACUACAAAAAAAUUUUUAAAUGAGAAAGUUUGUAUAAGUUGCAUAUUUUAGCAAUGGUUUUAGUAUAAAGCCAUGUCAUGACAUUGAAAAGAUGUAUAGAAAUAUUACUGUCGAUACCACUAUGGUACUCUUGAAUAACAGAAUGUUACAAAUUAUACAAGAACAAAGUAUAAGGGUACAUUAUUAUAAGAGAGAAUAUGUACAACUUUCCUACAAAUUAUUAGAGUAUGAUAUUAUCAAAGAAA